rfam:Beta vulgaris subsp. vulgaris Bvchr1.sca001.con0095.1, whole genome shotgun sequence.
CCCAUUUUUCGAAAUAAAUUACUUUUUUGAAAAAAAAUGUAAAUUAAGUAUACGUCCAAAUAUUUUUUCCAAAUAUUUACUUACUCCAUGAGUCAGAAGCGGGGCACUACCUCUUUUUCGACCAAAGGUCUAUUUUGCGGGCCGAUCAGGGCGGAGGACAUUAUCAGUUAGGGAGUUUGGCUGGGGCGGCACAUUUGUUAUCGUCCUAAGAUGUGCUCAACGAGAACAAAAUUCUCGUGUGGAAUAGAAGGGUAAAAGCUCGUUUGAUUCUGAUUUUCUGUACGAAUACGAAUCGUGAAAGCAUGGCCUAACGAUCCUUUAGACCUUUGGAAUUUGAAGUUAGAGGUGUCAGAAAAGUUACCACGGGGAUAACUGACUUGUGAUAGCCAAGCGUUCAUUAAUUUGAAUCAAAUUCAAGAAAGUU